rfam:Acidithrix ferrooxidans strain Py-F3 AXFE_contig000093, whole genome shotgun sequence.
GAAGCCUCUAGCUCCGUGGUUCUUUCGAUAUUAAUUUACUAGAAAGGAUAUCAAAUCGGCACAAGCUGCGUUGGUAGCGAGCCAGGGUGAUGAGCGUUGAGCUGAAAGGCGGAGAUACCUCCAUUUGA